AGCAGCGUGGCUCAGUGGAAAGAGCACGGGCUUGGGAGUCCGUGGUCAUGGGUUCAAAUCCCAGCUCUGCCA
rfam:Ornithorhynchus anatinus chromosome 2, whole genome shotgun sequence.